AGACAACUUUAAAGCCCACGUUCUUUCCAUUUACUGCAUAGAAUACAGAUAAUGAUGUAGAAGAAUAUAGAACAAAGUCAUAUGGCUGCUCCAGAGCAAGAGGAGUUAUUUUGAAGUGACUAAGAAAGCUGUCAUAAGGAAGGUGCCCUUUGGAUUGGCCCCUUAAUAACUGGAGAAGGAGAUUUGCAGUUGAAAAUGAGCUGAGGUGAAGAAGGAUGAAGCAUCUUGGAAAGGCCCAAAGAAUUAGAAACAUCAGAUGCCAUAAAAGACCGAACAGGAUAAAGUCAAUGAGGUCUUCCAGCUCCAUGUCAUCUAACCCACUGAACAAACAUGGAUGUAUCGCUUCCAGAGGCCGUCUAAUAACUCCAUUUCCAAAAGUCAUCUCCAGAAGACAUUUAUUUUGUAUGACUUCCUUUAAACAAAUGAGAAUUUACAAGAUGUGUGACUUUCUAACUCUACUUUAUCAUACGUCAGGAACCUCUUUCCAUCUAGAAGGGCUAGAUGUGACAAAUGUUUUAUAUUAACAGGCUGGGGUGGAGUUGAGGGCAGGUUUUUCAUAUUAUAUACACAGGCCUUCCAUAAAUGGCCAGUAAAUCUUCCCAAAGGGUGGUGGGCAUUUCCAACGGGCCAAAAGUGGCCUGUCAUUCUACCAUUUCUCCCAACAGCAAGAUCUGGUAGAAGGAAGACCAGCCGCCCUAUGGCCCCUAACCUUCCACCCGUUUUUCAGGACUUCGCUCACCUCCCAGGCCCCUUAAGGCCUUUGUCGGUACGUUAAGGCCUUUGUCUAGGUAGGUCUCGCCCAAUGGGGACAGAUCAGUCGCCCGGGGCUCCGGAUCUACGCGGCUCCGUGGCCUAAAGAGACAGCCGAGCCUGCGUGCGUCCCUAGGCCGCCUUCCGGUUCCGCCACGCCCUAAUGGCUUCCAUCGCCUGGCGUUUGGGUGGCCGCCAUGCUUCCGGGCCCACCACUCCCGCCGCCACCCAAAGAUGCUGCGUCCCGGCAGGCUUGGGCUGGGAGACCCGGCGUUGGGUGGGGUCCCGGCAGGGACAAGCCGCUGCCGCCAUCAGUCACCGAGGUGGGGUGGGGAAGAGAGGUUCGCCGCAGCUUCAAGACCUGGGUCCUCAAGACCUGGGUCCGGCCAGUGGGCAGCCACAGCGGAGGCCUCAGGAUUAUCAAUCACAGUCAUAUCUAUAAUGAAACUGGAAGAAAAACUACACAGAAAAGAAUUCAAAGUGAUUUGGCACUGCCUUCUGCUUGGCCCAUCUGCUGUUAUUUUUUUUCUCCUACUGGCGAAACGUUAGACAAUAUUUCAACUUAGCAUCUCAUAGGCAGUUAAACAACAGACAAGAUAACUUUAAGAAGAGAUGGGAGUGUUCCAGGUGGAGUAAAUAGCUUCUGCAGAAGCCCACAAUCUAAAUGCCCAACAGGGAACAUCUGCUUGGAACUCCCUUUGCUUGCUCUUCGCCAAUGCCUUUGACUUUCAUCACACCUGUUCACCAGCUCUAUCAGCUUGGUAGAAGUGAAAGCCCUACUCCUGGCAAUGGGUCAUUUGAGCUUAGAGGGUAAAUGUUUCUGGAUCAUUUGACCCUCUGGACUGUGCCUCUGGUUCCUGUGCCUUUCUCUGUAACUCUUGCCGUGAUGAUUCAUCCUGGACUGUCCUCUCUUGCAAUGCUCUAUCAAUACUGAUUCUGUCACUUACGAAGCUGUGUUAACUUUGUCAGUACAUACAUCUCUUUAUCAGAGGGUCUGUUACUCAUCUGUAAAAUGGGAACAACAAAGCCAACCUCCCUGGGUCAGGAUUUUUGGCCAUUUGGCUUCUUCAUGCACAGCAGUGACAAGUUUAAGGCACCCCAACCUGGGGUUACCCAUAUUAAGGGCCAACUUCACCUACCCUUCCUGCCAGGGGGACUCAGUCUACUUGGCUUUUUUUAAUUCCUCUUUUCCUUGCCCACAGGGCUUCACGUUUGUCUUGAGGAUGAGACUCCUGUUUCUUCUGGAUAUAUGGGUGGGAGGAGAGUGAGGGGGUGAAGUGAGAGUUUCUGCUAGAAGACUCCGGAUAUAGUUGAUGUCUGGAAGACUUCGUAGGGGCACGUCAUGUCAUAAAUGACAACUAACAUGGGUUGAAACAGACGUCAUUAGAAUUCAAAGCCUACAUAUUAAUAUUUUCUGGUGUUUCAAUUCACUUGUGGGUGGGUUCAACUUUUUUUUGAUAUACUCUUUUUACUUUCCUUUUUACUACUUCUUCCUAUUCCAGCCCCAACCACUGACUUGAAGAUGUAAGUAGAUGACUAAUGUGGUUUACACAGAGUAGAAGAAUCUUUUCUCCCCAUUUCAAAUUAAUGACAUGCCAACAACAUAUAUCCUAAAGAAUCUGAGUAUUUUGAUAUUGACAUAGAGGAAAAUCAGCCCAACUAACAUCUGUUGAGUGCUUGGAAUGUGCCAGGCACUGUACUAUGUAUUUUGUAUCUAUUCUAAUUUAAAACUCAUAUCAAAUUUAAGAUGUUGGUGUUAAUGUCUCAGUUUUACAGAUGAUUAAUGUAUCUUCUGUUGCUUAAUGAGACUUGUGUGUUGCCAACGUCCACACAGCUAGCAAUGGACAGUAUUGAUAUUAGAAUUUAAGGUCUAUUUAAUUCCAGAGUCAAUGCUUAUUUCUCUGCCCCCUAAUCUCUACUAUAGGAACUAAUACAUUCUGGGAAUUCUUUUAUAAGAUGUCAUUUGGAGGAUAGUGCAGAAAUUAUAGAAUUUCAACUGAGAAGAUCUGAAUGUAUGCAGAAUUUUGUUAUGAACUAGAUGUGUGACUUUGGACAAGUUAUUUUCUCAUCUUUUUGAGUCUCAUUAUUACUAGUGGCAUCACACAUGUACUGGUAAGGUGUCUCAAGUUUGGGUUCGAGCUCUGUAAUGAGUUAGCUGUGUGGCUUGGGGAAAACCGCUUUACCUGUGUAGGCGUUAGUUUUGUUUCUUUGUUUAUUUUAUCUAUAAAAUGAGAGGACUAUGGAAGACUUGUUCCUUUUAGGUUUGAAAUUUUGUUAUACUAAGGGUUUCAAUUUCAAUAAUAACAGUUACGCCCAGGCAGCUAGUGGGAGCAAUUCUAACAGUUCAUUAAUAAAGAAACAAUCUUCUCUGAACAAUGAAAUACUAUCCUGGCCAGCCUGGGCUCCAGCCAGAUAUAUUUACAGAACAUCCUUUAGCCUGAAAUAGAAAUUUAUUGCUCAACCAUCUGUUACAAUUAAGAAAAGAUGUGAAAAUGUUUUCUAUGUGUUUGACUAAUCGUGUUUUAGGGCCCUGUGGGUACUUUACAAAUUAUAUGCCUUCCUUUUUUCUUGGCAUCAUUAAAAAUCUGGGAUCUAUUUCCAAAAUUUAUCAGUUCUCACUCUAUUAUUUUCUCUUUUUCUAAAGAAACUUGUUCAGAGCCCCAGAUGGAAUAGAGCAAGCAAAUAUGUCUCAAGACAAAGUUAGCCUGUAAAGCAAAUGAAUUGUCUUUGGUGAGUGAGUGGUUUGGAAACAACUGAACGAAUAUUGCAACAUAAAUAUCUAAUUUGUAUUCGUUGGACUAUGACCUACCUGGUAUUAGUGAUGAGAAGACAUUAAGACCCAAUUACUGAUCAGGGUCUCUUGUUUCCUUCUUAAAAAAAUAGGGAUAUAAUUAAAAUAGCCCACCUGUGUGGCCAGUACUCAGUAAGAGAA
ensembl:lincRNA